rnacentral:lncRNA from 1 species
CUCUGAGCGGCCGACCCCGCUUUUCCGCAGAGAGUACGAGAAAAAGCCCUGGAGGACGUCGUGGUGCUGAACGUGGACGCCAAUACCUUGGAGACGACCUUUAACGACGUGCAGGCGCUGCCUCCAGACGUGGGCCAGCCAGUGACCUUCAGUGAGGAAGUCUUCUUGGCCCAGAAGCCUGGGGCACCUCUGCAGGCCUUCCACCGGCG